rnacentral:rRNA from 1 species
GUGCCAGCAGCCGCGGUAAUACGUAGGUGGCAAGCGUUAUCCGGAAUUAUUGGGCGUAAAGCGCGCGUAGGCGGUCUCUUAAGUCUGAUGUGAAAGCCCCCGGCUCAACCGGGGAGGGUCAUUGGAAACUGGGAGACUUGAGUGCAGAAGAGGAGAGUGGAAUUCCAUGUGUAGCGGUGAAAUGCGCAGAGAUAUGGAGGAACACCAGUGGCGAAGGCGGCUCUCUGGUCUGUAACUGACGCUGAGGUGCGAAAGCGUGGGGAUCAAACAGGAUUAGAUACCCUGGUAGUCCACGCCGUAAACGAUGAGUGCUAAGUGUUGGGGGGUUUCCGCCCCUCAGUGCUGCAGCUAACGCAUUAAGCACUCCGCCUGGGGAGUACGGUCGCAAGACUGAAACUCAAAGGAAUUGACGGGGACCUGCACAAGCGGUGGAGCAUGUGGUUUAAUUCGAAGCAACGCGAAGAACCUUACCAAAUCUUGACAUCCUUUGACAACUCUAGAGAUAGAGCUUUCCCCUUCGGGGGACAAAGUGACAGGUGGUGCAUGGUUGUCGUCAGCUCGUGUCGUGAGAUGUUGGGUUAAGUCCCGCAACGAGCGCAACCCUUAUCUUUAGUUGCCAUCAUUAAGUUGGGCACUCUAGAGAGACUGCCGGUGACAAACCGGAGGAAGGUGGGGGAUGACGUCAAAUCAUCAUGCCCCUUAUGAUUUGGGCUACACACGUGCUACAAUGGAUGGUACAAAGGGCAGCAAAACCGCGAGGUCAAGCAAAUCCCAUAAAACCAUUCUCAAUUCGGAUUGUAGUCUGCACUCGACUACAUGAAGCUGGAAUCGCUAGUAAUCGUAGAUCAGCAUGCUAC